AUUGAACGCUGGCGGCAUGCCUUACACAUGCAAGUCGAACGGUAACAGGCCGCAAGGUGCUGACGAGUGGCGAACGGGUGAGUAAUGCAUCGGAACGUGCCCAGUCGUGGGGGAUAACUGCUCGAAAGAGCAGCUAAUACCGCAUACGACCUGAGGGUGAAAGCGGGGGACCGUAAGGCCUCGCGCGAUUGGAGCGGCCGAUGUCAGAUUAGCUAGUUGGUGGGGUAAAGGCCCACCAAGGCAACGAUCUGUAGUUGGUCUGAGAGGACGACCAGCCACACUGGGACUGGGACACGGCCCAGACUCCUACGGGAGGCAGCAGUGGGGAAUUUUGGACAAUGGGCGCAAGCCUGAUCCAGCAAUGCCGCGUGCAGGAAGAAGGCCUUCGGGUUGUAAACUGCUUUUGUACGGAACGAAACGGUCCUGGUUAAUACCUGGGGCUAAUGACGGUACCGUAAGAAUAAGCACCGGCUAACUACGUGCCAGCCGCCGCUGUAA
rnacentral:rRNA from 1 species